rnacentral:SRP_RNA from 1 species
GGGAGCUGUGAACCAUGUCAGGUGGGGAACCAAGCAGCAUUAAGCGGUGUACCCGAUGUGCCGCGAGUCAGCCUGCUUUG